GAUAAUUUUUCUUCCUUGGAUAUUGAUUGGAUUCCACACACCACCAACAGUGGUAACAUGGCAGCUGAUAAUAGAACUGUCAAUGAAGAUGAUGAUUAGUUUGAUGCUUGGCAUGAUUUUACAAGCUCAACUCGUGUAUUAGUUCCUUCUAGCAAUUCUUUGAAACAAGAUGUCAAUCACACAGUGUCCCUUUGUUGAGCAGGCAUCCUUGUUCAGUGAAACUAGUAACUCAAAGGAUGUUGAUUUUG
rnacentral:misc_RNA from 1 species